rnacentral:rRNA from 1 species
GUGGGGAAUCUUGCGCAAUGGGCGAAAGCCUGACGCAGCCAUGCCGCGUGAAUGAUGAAGGUCUUAGGAUUGUAAAAUUCUUUCACCGGGGACGAUAAUGACGGUACCCGGAGAAGAAGCUCCGGCUAACUUCGUGCCAGCAGCCGCGGUAAUACGAAGGGGGCUAGCGUUGCUCGGAAUUACUGGGCGUAAAGGGCGCGUAGGCGGACAGCUUAGUCAGAGGUGAAAGCCCCGGGCUCAACCUUGUAAUUGCCUUUGAUACUGGCUGGCUUGAGUUUGGGAGAGGUGAGUGGAACUCCGAGUGUAGAGGUGAAAUUCGUAGAUAUUCGGAAGAACACCAGUGGCGAAGGCGACUCACUGGCCCAAUACUGACGCUGAGGCGCGAAAGCGUGGGGAGCAAACAGGAUUAGAAACCCCGGUAGUCC